AUUCAUGACAUAAACAACAGUUGAAUAUUACGAACAAUAGUUUAAAAUUCAAAGAUUUUGGCGGUGUCUUAUAAAACCAGGGGAACCUGUCUCAUAACUCGAUAAUCCACGUAUAUCCAACCUUCUUUUGAUAUCCAGCAUGUGUACUGCCGUUGUAAGCAUACCUCUAAAAGAAAGUACGCCACUAUGACUAUAACUCAUAUACAUCAGGUCAAAGUGCAGCCGAUGAGAAGGUGAUGAUGGGUUACAACCCCAAAAUAGACUAUCAACUAAGAAAUAAAAAAUCUUACGAAAGUGGACUUGGCCGUAAUCAAUUUACAAGUUAAAAAAAUGAAUUAAUAUCUAAGACAUGCACACACCGCCCGUCACCCU
rnacentral:rRNA from 1 species